GACACAUGCAGUCACUUCAUUGCAAGGACAGGUACAGAGACUUGCGGCCACCUGAAAAAGAAGCAUUUCUACUUCGUGUGUCACCGGUCUGGAAGUUAUGCUUCACAAGCUACAAGUAAACAAAAGCUGAAGCGGCCUUCAAGUGUCAAGUGUGGAAAAAGAUGUUUUGCGGCAAUGGCUGUGACUGAAGACAACACAGGUGUGUAUGUGGUUUUCCAAUUCAAGCACAGAGGCCACGACUUUGAACUGGGUCGUGUUUUUCUGUCCAAGUCGGAAAGAGCUGCUAUUGCUGACAAGCUGCGAGAAGGCGUGUCCAUGGAUGCAGUACUGGAUAAUGUGCGGUCCAACGUGGAUGCGACAUUCCACCGCAUUAACCUGUUAAGCAAGCAGGAUCUCCGCAAAAUAAUGAGGGAUGCCAGAGUCUCGAAGACCGAGCGGCUGCACGAUAAUGACUAUGUGAGCGUGCAACUCUGGGUUGAGAGGAUGCAUAGUGAAAAGGAAAACCCAUUGCUCUUCUUUAAACACCAAGGACAAACAAAAAGUGACAUUUUUUUAGAGAAAAAAAUGAGGACCUUUUGGAUGACAGAGAUUUUAUGCUAGUCAUCAUGACCACACCACAACAGGAGCUUUUCAAGAGGCUUGGAACUGAUCGUAUAUGUGUCGAUGGAACACAUGGAACAGCAGGUGAGCAGUACUAUAUAAAUGCAUUAAUAAUAAAAGCAAGAAAGAGGGAA
rnacentral:lncRNA from 1 species